GCCAACGUUGUGUAGUGGUUUGAGCGUUGGACUAGGAAUCUGGAGACCAGAGUUCGAAUCCUGACUUGGCC